rnacentral:rRNA from 1 species
CCUACGGGCGACAGCAGUGAGGAAUAUUGGUCAAUGGGCGCGAGCCUGAACCAGCCAAGUAGCGUGAAGGAUGACUGCUCUAUGGGUUGUAAACUUCUUUUAUAUGGGAAUAAAAUGUUCCACGUGUGGGAUUUUGUAUGUACUAUAUGAAUAAGGAUCGGCUAACUCCGUGCCAGCAGCCGCGGUAAUACGGAGGAUCCGAGCGUUAUCCGGAUUUAUUGGGUUUAAAGGGAGCGUAGGUGGAUUGUUAAGUCAGUUGUGAAAGUUUGCGGCUCAACCGUAAAAUUGCAGUUGAAACUGGCAGUCUUGAGUACAGUAGAGGUGGGCGGAAUUCGUGGUGUAGCGGUGAAAUGCUUAGAUAUCACGAAGAACUCCGAUUGCGAAGGCAGCUCACUGGACUGCAACUGACACUGAGGCUCGAAAGUGUGGGUAUCAAACAGGAUUAGAUACCCGUGUAGUC